UUUCUCUCUCUAGAGAUCUCUCUCAUUUCUCUAUAUCUCUCGCUCAAAUUCGCGGGGUUGGUGGAGAAUAUGCUUGCGAACGCGUUGGAGGCGACGGAUUGAGCUUUCGUGCGCCCGUUGGAGCGGUGUGUUGUCGUCGCGGCGUUCACAUUGAGGUAAGCUUUUAGGAUUUGGCUUAAUCCUUAGCUUUAAGUAUUCUAAUAGCCUCUAAUGAGCUUUGUUAGCAUGUUGAUCCAUUUAAUUUUGGAUUAUUUUGAGGUUAAUAGCAUAUUAGGGCUCCGAAUGGGGUUUUGUAAAAUGUAAGGGUUUGAUCUAAAUUGACCCUAUAUAAACCUAAUUGCUAGGUAAACGAACGCGUUGGCGAAGACGGUUCGGCAAUCCGACGAGCCGUUGCGAAGUUAUUAAAGAAACGGACGUUUAGGCUUCGGGUCCGCCGGGAGGGCCGAGGCGAUAUCGUAAAUUCAUGAAAAUGGAUUUGAAGCUUCGUGGCACAUAACCGAAGACCUUUAAUUUUCGGAUCGUGAAUUGGAGGCCGUUCGGGUGGUCGCGUGAGAGAUCGGGCCAAACCGGGUUACGGGUGCCGCGGGAGGCCGAUUGCAAGUGUCGACAAGCAAUCGGAAUGCGAAAUGAGGUGGGUUGUGCUCACCGAAGCGAUUAGGUCGCUUUCCAUGCUAAAGUGUAGUAUGUUUACUAUUGACGCAUGAUAAAGUAUGCUAUUUAAGAAUGCAUGAUAAAGAUUAAAGUAUGCUAUUUGAGAAUGCAUGAUAAAGUAUGCUAAUUAAGAAUGCAUGAUAAAGAUAGAUGCCAAAUGAAUGCAUGAGUUGAUGUUAAUUUAUAUGUGCAUAUUAUAGAAAUGCUAAAUAGAUGUCAAAUGAAAGUAUGAGAUUUGUACUAACCGAGAAUGCAUGUAGUAAAUGUUAACGAAUGCAUAAAAUGCUAAGUAAUGACUACCAAUGGAUGACAAAAUAUAUGCAUGUUGAACAUAGAUCGAGUGGCAUUCGAAAUGGUAAAGUGGACACUAGAGUUAGUGUGGGACAUCAAAGAAUAAAUGUGAUGUAAAGAACAAUGAUAAUGGCUAAAGAUAAUGUAAAACAAUGUGAUGAUAAUAAUGUAAUGUUGCAUGAUGUGAGUACACGUGCUUAUUAGAAUGAUUAAGAAUCUAAAUAAUCUAUGUGUAUGCAUGAGAUGUAAUGUGAGAACCUAAUGAUAAUGGCUUGAGACAAGGCAAAGCAAUGUGAUGUAAAGAAUAAUGAUAAUGGCUAAAGACAAUGUAAUGUAAUGUGGCAUAAAGAACGUGUAAAGUUAAAGAAUGUGAAAGCUAAAGAUAGCUUAAAGUAAAGGAAUGUGAAAAACGUGAUUGCUAGAGUUAGCAAAAGUAAAAGAGAUGUAAAGAACAAUGAUUGCUAGAGUGGCAACAUAAAGUGAUGUAAAGAACACUAGAGUUAGUGUAAAACCAUGAUCCAACUACAUAUCCUUAGAGUUAAGGAUUGAUCAUACUUGCUAUGAGUUCCGUGCUCGAGGGCGGUCGCUCCCCCUCGGGCGAUGCGCUCCGGAGUUUGGCAUCCGGGUUGGAGUAGACCCGUAAGGACGGUCCUAGCUGGUGAGUUCCUGCGAUGAUGGACUUAAUGUGAAGCAAGUUAAUGUGGCGAAACCCCCGGGUUAGCCGUGAGAUUAAAGAACAAAGAACAAAAAGGAAUCAUGAAUUGGAAAGUGGAUCUUGUAUUCAUUAUGAAUUGACUCAAGACCGAGUCGAGUGGCAUAGUUGGCUAGGGUAAAGGUAACCCUGUGAAAGAAUGACAAUUGAGAAAGAAUGACAAUUGAGAAACGUUUGUUAAUGUUAUAAAGAAUGGCAAAUGUGUAUAAUGCGCCUAAGGUGCGAGUGCCCUUAGCAAAGAAUAAAGAAUAAAGAAUAAAGAACAAAGAAUAAAGAAUAAAGAAUAAAGAACAAAGAAUAAAGAAUAAAGAAUAAAGAAUAAAGAAUAAAGAAUAAAGAAUAAAGAUUAAAGAAUAAAGAAUGGCUAAUGAUAAAGAAUUGCAUAUUCUAAAGAAAGGCUAAUGGUAAAGAAUGACUAAGAGUUGCAUAAUUUGCAUAUUUGUGAGGCAUGAACAUGUAUUGCAUGAUGUUAUAUAUAUAUAUAUCUGUUGGACUAACAUGUUGCAGUGCCUCCUUUGGACCUGGUGGGUUGAGCUUUUCACUUGGGUGGCUGUACCCACUGACGACUAUGGACAAUAGUCUCACCCCCGUGUUGUUGUUUUUGGGGGUACAGGUUCACACGCGAGCGGCGCGGCGGCGCGAGGAAAGGGCGUAGCUCCGUAGUUAGCGCCCUACCACAGAGACCAGAUAGCAGCACCCUGAGUCGGCUUCUUAGGGGUAUAAGAAAAGAAAACAAAAGAAUUGAUGUUGUAAUAUUUUGUUUAGAAAUCGAUUGUAUAUUUGGAAGUUGAGAAUCAAUGUAAUGAAAAAUGCAAUGUAAAAUGAUGAGAUGAAUGAUUGUAAUAACAUAGGAUGUGUUAUGUUGAUUGAUACCUUCCUUAUGCAAUCGUUGUUGAAAAUUGUUCCUGUUUGGAACCUCUUGUACUUGUAUUGAUUGCGACGCCUUGAACGUACAGGGGAGACUCUGUCCGCGUGCAGGGGAAACCCUGUCCGUUCGGCGGUCUGUUGGCGUGCCCGAAUCCGACCAAAGAGGCGGGCUCGGGGCGUGACAA
rnacentral:lncRNA from 1 species